CAUCUACUCUCUCUGUCCGGAAAUACUUGUCCGAGGAAUGGAUGUAUCUAGAUGUAUUUUAGUUCUACAUACAUCCAUUUGUAUCCAUUUCUAUGACAAGUAUUUCCGAACUGAGGGAGUAUUUU
rnacentral:pre_miRNA from 1 species